GGGAGGUUGACAGACACAGACCCGGGGACAGCGAGACGCACGGAAGCCGGGAUGGUGCGUCUCGGUCGGAUGCAGACUCGGGCUUGGUCCCCGGGGAGAAGAAGGAAGCAGGAACAGGGAGAACCAGGACAGGGGGACAGACAGACGCAGAGACCCGAGCUGCGCGGGCCACGGCAGAGGCCAGGCAGGCCGGGAUGGAAGAAGGGAGAACCGGGACAGGGGGACAGUGGGACAGAGAGACCCAGACUGCGCGGGACACGGACUCGGGCUUGGUCCCCGGGUGGGAGAAAGUGGAAGAAGGCAGGAGAAGGGAGAACCGGGACAGGGGGACAGACAGACACAGAGACCCGAGCUGCACAGGCCACGGCAGAGACCAGGCAGGCCGGGAUGGAAGAAGAAGGGAGAACCGGGACAGGGGGACAGUGGGACAGAGAGACCCAGACUGCGCGGGACUUGGACUCGGGCUUGGUCCCUGGGUGGAAGAAAGUGGAAGAAGGAAGGAGAAGGGAGGGAGGCAGGGGGGGACAGACAGACACAGAGACCCGAGCUGCACGGGCCACGGCAGAGGCCAGGCAGGCCGGGAUGGAAGAAGGAAGAGGGAAGAAGGGAGAACCGGGACAGGGGGACAGACAGACACAGAGACCCGAGCUGCGCGGGCCACGGCAGAGGCCAGGCAGGCCGGGAUGGAAGAAGGAAGCAGGAGAAGGGAGGAGAAGGAAGGAGAAGGGAGAACCGGGGGCUGCGGGACUCGUGGAAGCCGGGAUGGGUCCCUCGAUGGCGGACGCCGACGCCAGGCAGCCCCGGGUGGAAGGGAGGAGGAGGAGGAGGAGGAGGAGGAGAGAGACUUAGAGUCAGACAGAGGGACAGGGAGAGAGACUUAGACACAGAGACAGAGAGACAGAGAGAGGCU
rnacentral:lncRNA from 1 species